rnacentral:rRNA from 1 species
AGAGUUUGAUCAUGGCUCAGAGCGAACGCUGGCGGCAUGCCUAACACAUGCAAGUCGAGCGCUCACCGCAAGGUGGGAGCGGCGGACGGGUGAGUAACGCGUAGGAACGUAUCCUGUGGUGGGGGAUAACCCUGGGAAACUAGGGCUAAUACCGCAUGAUGGCGCGAGCCUAAAGAUUUAUCGCCAUGGGAGCGGCCUGCGUCCGAUUAGCUUGUUGGUGAGGUGACGGCUCACCAAGGCUCUGAUCGGUAGCUGGUCUGAGAGGAUGAUCAGCCACACUGGGACUGAGACACGGCCCAGACUCCUACGGGAGGCAGCAGUGGGGAAUAUUGGACAAUGGGCGCAAGCCUGAUCCAGCAAUGCCGCGUGGAUGAAGAAGGUCUUCGGAUUGUAAAGUCCUUUCGGCGGGGACGAUGAUGACUGUACCCGCAGAAGAAGCCCCGGCUAACUUCGUGCCAGCCGCCGCGGUAAUUC